rnacentral:rRNA from 1 species
CAGGGAAUAUUGCACAAUGGGCGAAAGCCUGAUGCAGCGACACCGCGUGCGGGAUGAAGGCCUUCGGGUUGUAAACCGCUUUCAGGAGGGAAGAAAAUGACGGUACCUCCAGAAGAAGCUCCGGCCAACUACGUGCCAGCAGCCGCGGUAAUACGUAGGGAGCAAACGUUGUCCGGAUUUAUUGGGCGUAAAGGGCUCGUAGGCGGUUCAACAAGUCGGUCGUGAAAGCCCGGGGCUCAACCCCGGGAGGCCGGUCGAAACUGUUGUGACUAGAGUUCGGUAGAGGUGAGUGGAAUUCCCGGUGUAGCGGUGGAAUGCGCAGAUAUCGGGAGGAACACCAUUAGCGAAGGCGGCUCACUGGGCCGAUACUGACGCUGAGGAGCGAAAGCGUGGGGAGCAAACAGGAUUAGAUACCCCCGUAGUCC